rnacentral:rRNA from 1 species
UAGGGAAUAUUGCACAAUGGGCGAAAGCCUGAUGCAGCAACUCCGCGUGAGUGAAGAAGGCCCUUGGGUUGUAAAGCUCUUUAGAGUGGAAAGAAGUGUCCUUACGUGAACAAUGUGAGGAUGUGACGGUACCACUAGAAUAAGCACCGGCUAAUUUCGUGCCAGCAGCCGCGGUAAUACGAAAGGUGCAAGCGUUACUCGGAAUCACUGGGCGUAAAGCGCGCGUAGGCGGUCCUGUAUGUCGAUUGUGAAAGCCCUGGGCUCAACCUAGGAACAGCAGCCGAAACUGCAGGACUUGAAUGUUGGAGAGGGUGGGGGAAUACCUAGUGGAGAAGUGAAAUUCGUAGAGAUUAGGUGGAACACCAGAGGCGAAGGCGCCUGCCUGGCCAAACAUUGACGC